rnacentral:rRNA from 1 species
UACAGAGGUCUCGAGCGUUAGGCGGAAUCACUGGGCUUAAAGCGUGUGUAGGUGGAUCGUUAAGUACCUUGUGAAAUCCCACGGCUUAACCGUGGAACUGCUUGGUAUACUGGCGGUCUUGAGUCAGCUAGGGGCUACCGGAACAAAUGGUGGAGCGGUGAAAUGCGUAGAUAUCAUUUGGAACGCCAAUGGUGAAAACAGGUAGCUGGGGGCUGUACUGACACUGAGACACGAAAGCCAGGGGAGCAAACGGG